rnacentral:rRNA from 1 species
AGCGAACGCUGGCGGCAGGCUUAACACAUGCAAGUCGAGCGGGCACUUCGGUGUCAGCGGCAGACGGGUGAGUAACACGUGGGAACGUACCCUUUGGUUCGGAAUAACGCUGGGAAACUAGCGCUAAUACCGGAUACGCCCUUUUGGGGAAAGGCUUGCUGCCGAAGGAUCGGCCCGCGUCUGAUUAGCUAGUUGGUGCGGUAAUGGCCUACAAAGGCGACGAUCAUUAGCUGGUCUGAGAGGAUGAUCAGCCACACUGGGGCUGAGACACGGCCCGGACUCCUACGGGAGGCAGCAGUGGGGAAUAUUGGAAAAUGGGCGGAAGCCUGAUCCAGCCAGGCCGCGUGAGUGAUGAAGGCCUUAGGGUUGUAAAGCUCUUUUGUCCGGGACGAUAAUGACGGUACCGGAAGAAUAAGCCCCGGCUAACUUCGUG